UACGGAGGAUGCGAGCGUUAUCCGGAUUUAUUGGGUUUAAAGGGUGCGUAGGCUGGUAUUUAAGUCAGUGGUGAAAUACCUCGGCUCAACUGAGGAGCUGCCAUUGAUACUGGGUACCUGGAGUUUAGUUGAAGUGGGCGGAAUGUAGCAUGUAGCGGUGAAAUGCAUAGAUAUGCUACAGAACACCAAUUGCGAAGGCAGCUCACUAAGCUAUAACUGACGCUGAAGCACGAAAGCGUGGGGAGCAAACAGG
rnacentral:rRNA from 1 species